UCGGCAACGACCACCCAGGGCCGGAAAGUUGGUCAAACCCGGUCAUUUAGAGGAAGUAAAAGUCGUAACAAGGUCUCCGUAGGUGAACCUGCGGAGGGAUCAUUAUAAGUUCACCCAGGCUUGUACAGCUGGGGACUGACAACCCUUUGAUUUCCGACUCUGUUGCCUCCGGGGCGACCCUGCCUUCGGGCGGGGGCUCCGGGUGGACACUUCAAACUCUUGCGUAACUUUGCAGUCUGAGUAAACUUAAUUAAUAAAUUAAAACUUUUAACAACGGAUCUCUUGGUUCUGGCAUCGAUGAAGAACGCAGCGAAAUGCGAUAAGUAAUGUGAAUUGCAGAAUUCAGUGAAUCAUCGAAUCUUUGAACGCACAUUGCGCCCCCUGGUAUUCCGGGGGGCAUGCCUGUUCGAGCGUCAUUUCACCACUCAAGCCUCGCUUGGUAUUGGGCAACGCGGUCCGCCGCGUGCCUCAAAUCGUCCGGCUGGGUCUUCUGUCCCCUAAGCGUUGUGGAAACUAUUCGCUAAAGGGUGUUCGGGAGGCUACGCCGUAAAACAACCCCAUUUCUAAGGUUGACCUCGGAUCAGGUAGGGAUACCCGCUGAACUUAAGCAUAUCAAUAAGCGGAGGAAAAGAAACCAACAGGGAUUGCUCUAGUAACGGCGAGUGAAGCAGCAAUAGCUCAAAUUUGAAAUCUGGCGUCUUCGACGUCCGAGUUGUAAUUUGUAGAGGAUGCUUCUGAGUGGCCACCGACCUAAGUUCCUUGGAACAGGACGUCAUAGAGGGUGA
rnacentral:rRNA from 1 species